rnacentral:rRNA from 1 species
UAGGGAAUCUUCCGCAAUGGGCGAAAGCCUGACGGAGCAACGCCGCGUGAGUGAUGAAGGUCUUCGGAUCGUAAAACUCUGUUAUUAGGGAAGAACAAAUGUGUAAGUAACUAUGCACGUCUUGACGGUACCUAAUCAGAAAGCCACGGCUAACUACGUGCCAGCAGCCGCGGUAAUACGUAGGUGGCAAGCGUUAUCCGGAAUUAUUGGGCGUAAAGCGCGCGUAGGCGGUUUUUUAAGUCUGAUGUGAAAGCCCACGGCUCAACCGUGGAGGGUCAUUGGAAACUGGAAAACUUGAGUGCAGAAGAGGAAAGUGGAAUUCCAUGUGUAGCGGUGAAAUGCGCAGAGAUAUGGAGGAACACCAGUGGCGAAGGCGACUUUCUGGUCUGUAAAUGACGCUGAUGUGCGAAAGCGUGGGGAUCAAACAGG